rnacentral:rRNA from 1 species
UACGUAGGGUGCGAGCGUUAAUCGGAAUUACUGGGCGUAAAGCGUGCGCAGGCGGUUCGUUGUGUCGGUGGUGAAAUCCCCGGGCUUAACCUGGGAAUGGCCAUGGAAACUGGCGAACUGGAGUGCGGCAGAGGGGGGUGGAAUUCCGCGUGUAGCAGUGAAAUGCGCUGAGAUGCGGAGGAACACCGAUGGCGAAGGCAGCCCCCCUGGGCUAGCACUGACGCCUCGAGGCACGAAAGCGUGGGGAGCAAACAGG